rnacentral:rRNA from 1 species
UACGUAGGGCGCAAGCGUUAUCCGGAAUUAUUGGGCGUAAAGAGCUCGUAGGCGGUUUGUCGCGUCUGCUGUGAAAGACCGGGGCUCAACUCCGGUUCUGCAGUGGGUACGGGCAGACUAGAGUGCAGUAGGGGAGACUGGAAUUCUUGGUGUAGCGGUGAAAUGCGUAGAUAUCAAGAGGAACACCGAUGGCGAAGGCAGGUCUCUGGGCCGAUACUGACGCUGAGGAGCGAAAGCGUGGUGAGCGAACAGG